UGAGUAUGUGACAUAGAUGUUAAGAGCUGCAUCAAGAGAAACCACCUCAGAGGAGCGUAUUCAGCAUGUAUUGUGAAUGCAUAUUUCCAUAACUGUUUCAGUUUCACUAUUGUUUUUUUUUAAAUCAAUUUUAGUUAGGAGUUUCAGUUAGCACAUUCUGAAGGAACUUGAUUAUUUUUGUUCACAAACGAUCUGUGCGCUUGAGGAUUAAUUGCUAAUUGCAAUUUCAAAUGUGUCGUCAUUGUUGGAAAUGGUUCCUUAAGUCUGGUAUUAACAACAUCUGACCGUGCCAAACGAGCUCUUACCAACACCUGGCAAGGUAAUCUGAACAUUUAAAGAGCUCAGUUUUUUUUUUUUUUGUCCUCUCCACUCCUUGAUGGAAGCCCUCUCGUUGUUCGUUGUUGACUGUCAAUGCUAUAGCAUUCCAAGAAACAUCAGUUGCAAAUGCAGCUUUGAAUUGUUUGCUUUGUUCCAGUGAGUUCUUGACGGUGUUAAUAGUGGUUCCUCCUGGGAAAUCAACAGCUGCUGAGGUCAGCUUUUUCUUGUGACUCGGUGUCACUGGUGACUCUGGCCUCCAUCUCGAUGAGCCUCAUGCUGCAGAAAUGCCGUCUCUUCUAGCCUCCUUUGACCUUCAAUGACUGAUGGAUUUAUCAGCUCUUAACCCUUUAGGCAGCAGGGUUUUUUGGAAAAAAUGCUGGAUUUUGACAUCAAUAAUAGGGCUUAAAG